CUUUUUUGCCGGUUCUUCCCGCUGAGGAAGUGUCGCUCAAGACGCUGGCCUAUGAGUUGUGAUUUCUGCCUUUUCCCCUUCCUCCUUGGGCUAAGCCAGACCAGAAAGGGCCCCGUGCGCAACGUGCUUCACAAUCUCUCAGGGAAAGCGGCUAACGUGGCGCUACUCCGCCUCCCCUGUUCCUUACCCUUGGGGCGGCCGCCAUGUUUCCUGAACACAAAAUGGCGACACGUGAGGAAGACAAACAUAAAGAUGAAGUGCUUAAUUCAAGGUCACACAAUGUCGGGGAUGGACCUCCAGAUUUCCUUACUGGAAAACAAGCUCAGGGCUCCCACUGAUUGUACAUUAUGAGACGGAGUCUUGCUAUGUUGCCCAGGCUGGUCUUGAACUCCUCACCUCAAGCGAUCCUCCCGUCUUGGCCUCCCAAGUGUCAGGAUUACGGGCAUGUGCUAUCACACCCAACCUGAUACAUUGCCUUUAUAAAUUUUUUUUUCUUUAUUCUAAAAACCAGAAAAAACAAAACUGGAUACAUGUGCAGAACAUGCAGGUUUGUUACAUAGCUGUACGUGUGCCAUGGUGGUUUGCUGCACCUAUUGACCUAUCCUGGUAAAUUUUUGAAGGCAGGAGGCAUCUCUUAUAUCCUGUAGUGAUGAGCAUAAUACGAGUUGUUCAAUAAAUACACAUUUGGCAAAGAUGAGAGAGGUGGAGAGAGAAAGAGGUUCCUCUGCUGAAGAAGUGUGAUUACUUUUGGGUUUUGUCUACCUCAUGUGGUACCCAUUUCUAGCAGGGAAUUUCUUCCACUUGCAGACCAAGUGUGUUGGGGACUUGAGAUGCGUACAUGAGUGUGAUGUUUCCUGCUGAAAGCACAGGUGAGACGUGGUCUUGUAACACAGUGGUUAAGAAUGUGACUUUGGAGCCAGCCUGCUAGGGGCUGAAUUCUGACUCAGCCAUUUACUAACUGUGUGACCUUAGGCUGGAGUGCAAUGGCAUGAUCUCGGCUCAUCACAACCUCUGCUUCCUGGGUUCAAGCGAUUCUCCUGCCUCAGCCUCCCGAGUACCUGGGACUACAGGCACUCGCCACCAUGCCCGGCUGAUUUUUGUAUUUUUAAUAGAGAUGGUUUCACUAUGUUGGCCAGGCUGGUCUCGAACUCCUGACCUUGUGAUCUGCCCACCUCAGCCUCGAAAAGUGCUGGGAUUACAGGCGUGAGCCACUGCGCCCAGCCUUGUAUUUUUUUUCAGUUUGGGUAGCUGUCCCUAAUUCAUUUGUUAAAGGAGAAGCAAGAGCAAGAACCUUUAAUCUGUUCUCCUCUUCCCUAAUUUGAAAGUAGCUUGUUAUUUUGAAUAUCACUUUCUCUGAAAUAGCACAUCUCCAUCUCAGAGAAUGGAUUUAAUGUUUGGAUACAGCCAAAAGUCAUUUCAUUACCAAACCAUGGGGUGAAUAUACCAUGUAAAGCAGUUUGGGAUCAGAACUCACAGUCUGAAUUGUAAGUGAUGAGACUGCUGUCUCUCUGCUACAGCUUCUUGGCUGGCUCUGAAGGCUCUUUGAAGGCAGAUCCUAACAAGGGGACUGCUUUGAAGGGCCAUUGUUCAUUUGGAAUGAUAAAGUCUAUGUUGUUCAAAAAACAAAUGCUUGUAGCAGGUAUUUUUUCACUCCAGACUGAGAAUAUUGGUGGGAUAUUGAUAAGGGGUACUGAAUGGUAAUAAACAUGUGCUCUAGCUCUGUGCUAGUCAGCUUAUUUCAGAACUCUAGUUUGAUUCAGUUUCUUGCCUCUGACUCAAAAUGGAGGGAGAGUGAUUUUUACAUAAGAGAACACACCCACAUAUCCUUUUGGCAGCAGCUACCUGCCAGAGAUGUUGAAGAAGAGUAGCCAACCUUUACACAGCAGAUAUUGUGUGCCAGUCAUAGUCCUAAGUAUAAUACCUUACAUGUAUAAACUUCUUAUAAGGUUGGUGCUCUGUACCGAAUUGAAUAGUAUCCCCCAAAAUUCAUGUUGUCCCAGAACCUAUGAAAGUGAUCUUACUUGAGGGAGGGGGGAGGGGGGAGGGAUAGCAUUAGGAGAUAUACCUAAUGCUAAAUGACGAGUUAAUGGGUGUAGCACACCAGCAUGGCACAUGUAUACAUAUGUAACUAACCUGCACAUUGUGCACAUGUACCCUAAAACUUAAAGUAUAAUAAUAAU
ensembl:lncRNA PCBP1-AS1 PCBP1 antisense RNA 1